rnacentral:rRNA from 1 species
AACUGAACGCUGAUGUGCGAAAGCGUGGGGGAUCAAAACAGGAUUAAGAUACCCUUGGUAGUCCACGCCGUAAACGAUGAGUGCUAAGUGUUAGGGGGUUUCCGCCCCUUAGUGCUGCAGCUAACGCAUUAAGCACUCCGCCUGGGGAGUACGACCGCAAGGUUGAAACUCAAAGGAAUUGACGGGGACCCGCACAAGCGGUGGAGCAUGUGGUUUUAAUUCGAAGCAACGCGAAGAACCUUACCAAAUCUUGACAUCCUUUGACCGCUCUAGAGAUAGAGUUUUCCCCUUCGGGGGACAAAGUGACAGGUGGUGCAUGGUUGUCGUCAGCUCGUGUCGUGAGAUGUUGGGUUAAGUCCCGCAACGAGCGCAACCCUUAAGCUUAGUUGCCAUCAUUAAGUUGGGCACUCUAAGUUGACUGCCGGUGACAAACCGGAGGAAGGUGGGGAUGACGUCAAAUCAUCAUGCCCCUUAUGAUUUGGGCUACACACGUGCUACAAUGGACAAUACAAAGGGCAGCUAAACCGCGAGGUCAAGCAAAUCCCAUAAAGUUGUUCUCAGUUCGGAUUGUAGUCUGCAACUCGACUACAUGAAGCUGGAAUCGCUAGUAAUCGUAGAUCAGCAUGCUACGGUGAAUACGUUCCCGGGUCUUGUACACACCGCCCGUCACACCACGAGAGUUUGUAACACCCGAAGCCGGUGGAGUAACCA